rnacentral:rRNA from 1 species
CGCCUCUCGAACAAAUAUGAAAGGUCCAGCCUGCCCAGUGACUCUGUUCAACGGCCGCGGUAUCCUAACCGUGCAAAGGUAGCGUAAUCACUUGUCCUUUAAAUGAGGACUAGUAUGAACGGCACCACGAAGGUUACACUGUCUCCUCCUCCUAAUCAGUGAAACUGAUCUCCCUGUGAAAAAGCAGGGAUACACAUAUUAGACGAGAAGACCCUAUGGAGCUUUAAACAAAACAACAGCCGCCACCUUAUUUAAACUUCAGAGCACUCACCCCACAUUCUGGCGGCAUGAUUGUUAGUUUUGGGUUGGGGUGACCGCGGAGAACAAACCAACCUCCGCACUGGAAGGGACCUCCCCCUAAGCAAAAAACCACAAUUUUACGCAUCAACAAAUUGACACCAAUUGACCCAAUAUUUUGAUCAAUGAACCAAGUUACCCUAGGGAUAACAGCGCAAUCCAUUUUGAGAGCCCAUAUCGACAAAUGGGUUUACGACCUCGAUGUUGGAUCAGGGUACCCAAGUGGUGCAGCCGCUGCUAAAGGUUCGU